rnacentral:rRNA from 1 species
UACGUAGGUGGCAAGCGUUGUCCGGAUUUACUGGGCGUAAAGAGCGCGCAGGCGGUCGAUCAAGUCGAGUGUGAAAGCCCCCGGCUCAACUGGGGAGGGUCAUUCGAUACUGAUCGACUCGAAGGCAGGAGAGGGUAGUGGAAUUCCCGGUGUAGUGGUGAAAUGCGUAGAUAUCGGGAGGAACACCAGUGGCGAAGGCGGCUACCUGGCCCACUCUUGACGCUGAGGCGCGAAAGCUAGGGGAGCAAACGGG